CUCGUCCCUUCUACGUUGGAUAACUCGUAGGGAAACGAGAGACUAAUACCGAAUACCGACCUACUUCGAGGCAUCUGAUGGGUGGUAGGAAGUUCCGGCGGUGAAGGAUGAGCUCGCGGCCUAUCAGCUAGUUGGUGGAGUAACGGCCCACCAAGGCUUCGACGGGUAGCCGGCCUGAGAGGGUGACCGGCCACACUGGGACUGAGACACGGCCCAGACUCCUACGGGAGGCAGCAGUGGGGAAUAUUGGACAAUGGGCGAAAGCCUGAUCCAGCAACGCCGCGUGAGGGAUGACGGCCUUCGGGUUGUAAACCUCUUUCAGUAGGGACGAAGCGCAAGUGACGGUACCUACAGAAGAAGCACCGGCCAACUACGUG
rnacentral:rRNA from 1 species